rnacentral:rRNA from 1 species
AAACCAACAGGGAUUGCCUUAGUAGCGGCGAGUGAAGCGGCAAAAGCUCAAAUUUGAAAUCUGGCGCCUUCGGUGUCCGAGUUGUAAUUUGAAGAUUGUAACCUUGGGGUUGGCUCUUGUCUAUGUUUCUUGGAACAGGACGUCACAGAGGGUGAGAAUCCCGUGCGAUGAGAUGCCCAAUUCUAUGUAAGGUGCUUUCGAAGAGUCGAGUUGUUUGGGAAUGCAGCUCUAAGUGGGUGGUAAAUUCCAUCUAAAGCUAAAUAUUGGCGAGAGACCGAUAGCGAACAAGUACAGUGAUGGAAAGAUGAAAAGAACUUUGAAAAGAGAGUGAAAAAGUACGUGAAAUUGUUGAAAGGGAAGGGUUUGAGAUCAGACUCGAUAUUUUGUGAGCCUUGCCUUCGUGGCGGGGUGACCCGCAGCUUAUCGGGCCAGCAUCGGUUUGGGCGGUAGGAUAAUGGCGUAGGAAUGUGACUUUACUUCGGUGAAGUGUUAUAGCCUGCGUUGAUGCUGCCUGCCUAGACCGAGGACUGCGAUUUUAUCAAGG